UAAACUUUAAAUUACUUUCCCUCUAAAAUUUAAAAUUUGAGAAAAUUUCUUUAAAAAAUUUAAGAUAGUUUUUCUCUCUAAUUUUUUUAGUAAUUUCUCUCUCUAAAGCUUGAUAUAGUUUCACUAUCUAAAGUUUUAAGAUACUUUCUCUCUAAAACUUGAAAUUUGAUAUAACGUAUCUCUCUAAAUUUUUUGAGAUAGUUCUCUCUCUAAAAAGUUUUAGUUUGUUUCUCUCUCUAAAUUUUGAUUUAGUUUCUCUCUCUAAAGCUUAAAAUUUGAUAUAGUUUUUCUCUCUAAAAUUAUUAAGAUAGUUACUCUCUAAAAAGAGUUUAGGUACUUUCUCUCUCUAAAAUUUG
rnacentral:lncRNA from 1 species